rnacentral:rRNA from 1 species
GAAUAUUGGACAAUGGGGGGAACCCUGAUCCAGCCAUGCCGCGUGUGUGAAGAAGGCCUUUUGGUUGUAAAGCACUUUAAGCGAGGAGGAGGCUACUCUAGGUAAUCCCUAGAGAUAUUGGACGUUACUCGCAGAAUAAGCACCGGCUAACUCUGUGCCAGCAGCCGCGGUAAUACAGCUGGUGGAAGCGUUAAUAGGAUUUAAUGGGCGGAAAGCGCGCGUAGGUGGCCAAUUAAGUCAAAUGUGAAAUCCCCGAGCGUAACUUGGGAAUUGCAUUCGAUACUGGUUGGCUAGAGUAUGGGAGAGGAUGGUAGAAUUCCAGGUGUAGCGGUGAAAUGCGUAGAGAUCUGGAGGAAUACCGAUGGCGAAGGCAGCCAUCUGGCCUAAUACUGACGCUGAGGUACGAAAGCAUGGGGAGCAAACAG